AUAAGCAUGGCUUAGUAAUGGUGAGAUUUUAGAAGUAAUUAAGGGUUCAUCCACUUUGGGAGUUGCUGUAGAGCAGCUUCACUUGCAUAACUCCCCUUCCCUGCACUGGACAUGUAUUUCACACUAAUACUGCUUUCUUUAGAAUUCAUUUGCACUGCUUGGGAUUUCAGUUCACAAGGAACCUUUGCCUGAAUUGAUGGACUUGUGCAAGCACCACUCCUGUUCACUCCUAACCAGGCUGGAAAAAGGCAGCACAUGCCUGGCCUCCAUGUCCCUGGGGACUCUGGAGCAUCCCUAGGACGAGGAACGUAGCAUGAUCCCCAAGCACCAGCCCCUCCGUCUCCAGCUCAGCUCAUGGCACUGAGGCUCCUCCGGCCAGAACUCAUUCAGUCAGUCCAUGACUGAAAUCUGUGCAGCCAGGAACAUGAGAGAGUGGAGUACAGAAGGUACCUUGUGAUGCUGAGAAAAAAAACAACAAAAAAACCAUAUUUAGGCUUGUUUUCCAUCUAGCCUUUUGGAAGAAAGUUAAAGGCUGGGUUUUCAGCUCAGGAGCUCUGUAAGUGAGAUCAUACUUCCUUGACAAGCCAUUUUCUACUUACCGCCUUGCCCCAAUUUCACCUGCCACCAUUACCACUGUUUAAUGAGGCAGGACGUCCUUCUAGCAAGUGACUAGGAACCAUCUUCUCUAUCUGAGCCCAAGGGAGAUUUGUCACUGGCAGCUGUUGGCUUUCAGGAUGUGCCAUAAGGCUUAUCAUGUUUUCCAGUUUUUCCUUAAGAGGAAUGAGGAGAUAGAUGGGGAAGAAGGGUAUCUCACUGGAUAGGGGUCUUUCAUCCUUCUGCUGGUUGGCUGAGCAGACAGUGCUGGGAGACUAGUGGUAGUGCAGCUCAGGGCUUUCAGCAAGAUUAAUAAAGACACCUGGCUAUAAGCAAGGCAGUGGUGAGAAGAAAGGAAUGCAAUGUUUCUUGGAAUAAAUAAAACUUCUAAUAACUACCUCAUGUAUACUGCCCAAUGACUGGAGCAAAAAUAGCAGGGUAAACAAUUCCUAGCACUAUCCUCAGGUACUUUCCCAAAAGUUUACUUUCACUCUGUACUAAAGGAUUUAUUUUUUUUUCUACUGUUGAAGGAACAAAGGUUGAUAUUUGGAUUUGUGCAUUUAUAGCUGUGUCUCUUCAGUGGUUUCCUCACAAAAGCUCGUGGUUCUUUUUGCAUUUUCCAUUUGAUUUUUUUUUUCUUAAAAAUAUAUUUAAAUUUCUUCUCCUAUUUCUUUAGACACAAAAUGCAAACCUCUGCAUCUACAAAAUAGCUCAGAUGCCUUUCUUUUCCUUCUCUCUUUCAGUCCUGCUUCUGCUUUCCAUUUUUACUUCUGCUCAGAGAAUUAGUCAUUUAUAGUUAUUUCUCUCUUUAUUUAUAUGGGCACGUAUUUUCCUUGGAAAGCUGCUGCCUGGUCCUUUGCAGUCAUUGUCACCUGGCCCCAGCCCUGCUUGGUCUCUGUAAACCUACUGGCACCACAGAGCAAUCCCUUUUUUCUGCAUUUCAAAGUCAUUCCCACCUUUCUCCUUGGACAUCAAUUAGAACUAUCAGAACUGAUCAAAAAGCAGAAAAACGAAGGCUAAGGAAAUAUCCACAAGGAUAAGCAGGAGAUAAAUCUCGGUUUGCGGCACCUUUCUUACUUUUGCAUUUUCAUCGUGUCCCAGGGUUACUGUCCCACAGGCAGGGCUUACCAAGGGUGCAACCCCUUUCUUCUGCAUUUCAAAGUCAUUCCCACCUUUCUCCUUCGACAUCGAUUAGAACUAUCAGAAGCGAUCAAAAAGCUAGGAAAAAAAAUCUUCAUAGAUACUUCAUUUCAAUUUCCUUCCUAUUUAAAACAAAAAUGAAAAACCCCCAGGUGUUCUGAAAAUGUGUUUCGAACACUUCUUUCUUGAGGUUGUGAGCAAAUUUCCUUCUACCCUCCUAUAACCAGGUAAUAAUAGAAACAACAUAUGUCCCCUUCUAUAUCCACAUUAAAGAAGUUUAUGCCUGUCCCACUUAGGAACUAGCUGCUACUGUGACCUGCAUUUUUUGAUCUCAUCUCCACUUUCUUGUGGGAUCAUUUUAAUUUCUCUGUAGUGGUAGAAAGGGAGUCCCAGGCAUGUGUUUUUCUCCAAAUCAGGACAAGACUCAGUCUCUGGCCACAGCUGGCAGUCAGGUUGGUCAAAGCCUCUAGUUUGAGCAGCAAACUCUCUCAUACCAGUAGCCAGAAGAAAUCCUUCACAUUAAUGCCAGCCAGGCUCCAUUGCCUCUCUGCUCACUUCUAGGCAGCUCCUGAUCCAAAAAGUUCAAACCUUUCCAUGCUCUCUGACCAGGACACCUUCUGUGACUGUGCACAGGCACCCAGUUUGAUUUCAGCUCCCCCAGUUGCCACAGUUUGCUGGAUUUUGGAAAACAUCUUACAGAAGAUAAUUCAGCAGCAGCAGGUGUGUUGGCUACAGGCAAAGCAGAGGCAGGCAGCGGUGGAGGCUGCUGUGGGCUCUGCUCCCGAUGCCACCAGUCACAGUGCUGGUGCCUGGGGUCACCUGCUGGUGUGGGGACAGAGGCACAAUAUGCCCCGAGAUGGAGCCAAGGGCACCAGGUACGUCUCGAGUGAGUUCACAAGGCAAUGUUGUUUCAUAGCAGAGCACAAAACUCAUCUUUUCUCAGACACCUCCCAAAUAUGAAAAGGAGCAGGAGGCAGAGGACAAAGAAAAGUAUUCAAGAUGAAGGGGCCAAGCACUAGGAUGGGAAGAGCGGAGUCCACGUUCAAUAACAUUUAUGCUUAUCUCAAUAUUGUACCUGGCGCCUAGGUACUGUAGCAAUUGGAACCUCGUAAAUACCAAUGACAGACAGUAAUUAGCACCCCAUAAAUACCAUCAACAGAUAAUCUUGCUGCUAGGAAGCAAGAACAAGCUUUUCAUACCCAACUGGCCAAGCAAGCUUGGAGGUGAAAAUAACAAGAAGAUGGAAAAAACACCUUUUGAAAACAAAGGUCUUUCUCUGGAGCUAAACUUUUUAAUGGAAAUAAAGCCUAAACCAGAAGUCUUAUACUAGCCUUAGGCUCCAAAGUGCCCCAAGUCAAUUUAUAUCUGGCUGAUAAAAGAGUAGUUGAUUGAUUCAUCACAGCCAAAGGCUCAGCUCCUAGGAAUGCAUGAUGAUUUAUUUUUUUCUGGGAUCCCUUUGAUCUCUGCUGGAGGUUGAGGAGCAGCCUCCAAAUUAUAGAGUAAUUUUGGAAUUAUGUUGAGACUGUUUCACAGAAAAGUCACCUUCAAGUCUCCAAGGCUCUCUCAAGUGACAUGGAAGUGGCGAAAAGCUUCUAGCAUGACAUUUUUAUCUCAGACAAAAUGAAUACAGCAGUUCUUAAAACAAUGGUAAUCCAAUCACAUUUGGACUACAUUCAGAUCUGGAUGUAGGAGCUUUCUAUGCACUAGACUAAAAGUACAAGUUUCUAUGAGGUUAUCUGGAAGUAAUAACAGGUUUACAGAUCUCAGUAGAUCAGGUAGAGGAAGACAAGCAUCAAACACAAGCCUAAAACACUAGUAAUUGGCACAUGGGAGAAACUUGCCUUUCAAUUCAGUGUAUUAAACUCCACAGCAGUAUUUAUUCCAGGCAAACAAAAGCCAUAGGAGGUACAGCAUCUACUCCCUACCAUUCCCCCUCCACACAGUGCCCUCCCUGGCUCCCCAUGUACCUUAGAG